GACGAACGCUGGCGGCGUGCCUAAUACAUGCAAGUAGAACGCUGAAGAGAGGAGCUUGCUCUUCUUGGAUGAGUUGCGAACGGGUGAGUAACGCGUAGGUAACCUGCCUUGUAGCGGGGGAUAACUAUUGGAAACGAUAGCUAAUACCGCAUAACAAUGGAUGACCCAUGUCAUUUAUUUGAAAGGGGCAAAUGCUCCACUACAAGAUGGACCUGCGUUGUAUUAGCUAGUAGGUGAGGUAACGGCUCACCUAGGCGACGAUACAUAGCCGACCUGAGAGGGUGAUCGGCCACACUGGGACUGAGACACGGCCCAGACUCCUACGGGAGGCAGCAGUAAGGAAUCUUCGGCAAUGGGGGCAACCCUGACCGAGCAACGCCGCGUGAGUGAAGAAGGUUUUCGGAUCGUAAAGCUCUGUUGUAAGUCAAGAACGAGUGUGAGAGUGGAAAGUUCACACUGUGACGGUAGCUGACCAGAAAGGGACGGCUAACUACGU
rnacentral:rRNA from 1 species